rnacentral:rRNA from 1 species
UACGGAGGGGACUAGCGUUGUUCGGAAUUACUGGGCGUAAAGCGCACGUAGGCGGCUUUCUAAGUCGGGGGUGAAAUCCUGGAGCUCAACUCCAGAACUGCCUUUGAUACUGGUGGGCUUGAGUCCGGGAGAGGUGAGUGGAACUGCGAGUGUAGAGGUGAAAUUCGUAGAUAUUCGCAAGAACACCAGUGGCGAAGGCGGCUCACUGGCCCGGUACUGACGCUGAGGUGCGAAAGCGUGGGGAGCAAACAGG